AUUGAACGCUGGCGGCAGGCCUAACACAUGCAAGUCGAACGAGUGGCGGACGGGUGAGUAAUGUCUGGGAAACUGCCCGAUGGAGGGGGAUAACUACUGGAAACGGUAGCUAAUAACGCCUACCAUCGGAUGUGCCCAGAUGGGAUUAGCUAGUAGGUGGGGUAACGGCUCACCUAGGCGACGAGCCCUAGCUGGGCUGAGAGGAUGACCAGCCACACUGGAACUGAGCCACGGCCCAGACUCCUACGGGAGGCAGAGUUGGGGAAUAUUGCACAAUGGGCGCAAUCCUGAUGCAGCCAUGCCGCUUGUAUGAAGAAGGCCUUCGGUUUGUAAAGUACUUUCAGCGAGGAGGCGUUACUCGCAGAAGAAGCACCGGCUAACUCCGUGCCAGCAGCCGCGGUAAUAC
rnacentral:rRNA from 1 species